GACGAACGCUGGCGGCGUGCUUAACACAUGCAAGUCGAACGGAAAGGCCCUGCUUUUGCGGGGUGCUCGAGUGGCGAACGGGUGAGUAACACGUGAGUAACCUGCCCUUGACUUUGGGAUAACUUCAGGAAACUGGGGCUAAUACCGGAUAGGAGCUCCUGCUGCAUGGUGGGGGUUGGAAAGUUUCGGCGGUUGGGGAUGGACUCGCGGCUUAUCAGCUUGUUGGUGGGGUAGUGGCUUACCAAGGCUUUGACGGGUAGCCGGCCUGAGAGGGUGACCGGCCACAUUGGGACUGAGAUACGGCCCAGACUCCUACGGGAGGCAGCGGUGGGGAAUAUUGCACAAUGGGCGGAAGCCUGAUGCAGCAACGCCGCGUGCGGGAUGACGGCCUUCGGGUUGUAAACCGCUUUCGCCUGUGACGAAGCGUGAGUGACGGUAAUGGGUAAAGAAGCACCGGCUAACUACGUG
rnacentral:rRNA from 1 species